rnacentral:rRNA from 1 species
UACGGAGGGUGCAAGCGUUGUCCGGAAUCACUGGGCGUAAAGGGCGCGUAGGCGGCUCGGUAAGUAGGGGGUGAAAUCCUGCGGCUUAACCGCAGGGCUGCCUUCUAAACUGUCGAGCUUGAGCACGGUAGAGGCAGAUGGAAUUCCCGGUGUAGCGGUGGAAUGCGUAGAGAUCGGGUGGAACACGUGUGGCGAAAGCGGCUCACUGGACCAUAACUGACGCUGAUGCACGAAAGCUAGGGGAGCAAACAGG